rnacentral:sRNA from 1 species
GGGGCUGACAAUGGAAAAUUAUGUCCUCUUUAUCCACAGAACAGCUAUGACAUAGGUAACAGCAAUGCAAGCUUCUCCACUCUGCCUAGCACUGCCAAUCCUCCAGGCAUAGGCACUGACUCUGUGGGUGCCCUGGGUCUGGAACUCCCAUGGGGAAAAAAUGGUGGGUGCUGAGCCUCCUAUCAACUUCCCCU